CAGAAGGCUAGCUGGAUUCUGGAUGGCUGGCACCUGGACACUGGUUUGCUUGGGUGGACGAUGUCCUGCUGGCGUCUGGGUUGGUAGCUGUAGUCACUGGACAGCUACUGGGCAGAACUAGGCAGCCUGUUCCUGACCUGACUGGACACAUGCUGGCCACAUGGUGACAGUAAUGAAGGCCAAUGUAGUGUGCAGGCAGAUGGCUACUAAUGCAUGCCAGAAGGCUUGUGAGCACAGGCAGUGGCACUAGGCUGGAACUGUGAACUGGGUUAGGGCUGUGCACUCACUGUGCACUGUGACUCACCAGGUCCUCUAAUGGCCACCAUAGCCUACCUUACCUUCAUUAAAUGGAAGAAAUCUGCUAGGCCAUAGCCCCAUGUCCUUUCCUCCAAUUGGCCUAGCAGCCCUGGGCUUGGGAAGUACUACCGCUGCACCACCGAGAAGAAGAACAAGAAAGUGAGUUUUCUCCUUCUCAGGCUGGGGAUUACCGCACACUGCAACCAAUGCUUUUAAUAAAUCAGCAUUAUUUUACCCCUUUGUAGUUUCUCCGACAGCCGAGAAGCGCUGCUGUAAACUGGAGAAACUACAAGGGGGGUAAAAUACAUUUAAUAACUAAAAUAAGCAAGAUCCUCUAUAUGCUUUGUGACAGGCAGCAAUUGCCCCCUCCCCCCUGGAUC